rnacentral:rRNA from 1 species
GACGAACGCUGGCGGCGUGCUUAACACAUGCAAGUCGAGCGGUAAGGCCCUUUCGGGGGUACACGAGCGGCGAACGGGUGAGUAACACGUGGGUGACCUGCCCUCAGCUCUGGGAUAAGCCUGGGAAACCGGGUCUAAUACUGGAUAUGACUCCAUGACGCAUGUUGUGGGGUGGAAAGCCUUGUGCGGCUGAGGAUGGGCCCGCGGCCUAUCAGCUUGUUGGUGGGGUGAUGGCCUACCAAGGCGACGACGGGUAGCCGGCCUGAGAGGGCGACCGGCCACACUGGGACUGAGACACGGUCCAGACUCCUACGGGAGGCAGCAGUGGGGAAUAUUGGACAAUGGGCGCAAGCCUGAUCCAGCAACGCCGCGUGGAGGACGAAGGUCUUCGGAUCGUAAACUCCUGUCAGGUGGGACGAA